rnacentral:rRNA from 1 species
UGGGGAAUCUUGCGCAAUGGGCGAAAGCCUGACGCAGCCAUGCCGCGUGGAUGAUGAAGGUCUUAGGAUUGUAAAAUCCUUUCACCGGUGAAGAUAAUGACUGUAGCCGGAGAAGAAGCCCCGGCUAACUUCGUGCCAGCAGCCGCGGUAAUACGAAGGGGGCUAGCGUUGCUCGGAAUUACUGGGCGUAAAGGGAGCGUAGGCGGACAUUUAAGUCAGGGGUGAAAUCCCGAGGCUCAACCUCGGAACUGCCUUUGAUACUGGGUGUCUUGAGUGUGAGAGAGGUGAGUGGAACUCCGAGUGUAGAGGUGAAAUUCGUAGAUAUUCGGAAGAACACGAGUGGCGAAGGCGACUCACUGGCUCAUUACUGACGCUGAGGCUCGAAAGCGUGGGGAGCAAAC